rnacentral:rRNA from 1 species
GAUGAACGCUGGCGGCGUGCUUAACACAUGCAAGUCGAACGGAGUUUAGAUGGAAGCUUGCUUUUGACUAAACUUAGUGGCGGACGGGUGAGUAACGCGUGGGUAACCUGCCUUAUACCGGGGGACGAACAGUUGGAAACGGCUGCUAAUACCGCAUAAGCGCACGAGGAGGCAUCUCCUUGUGUGAAAAACUCCGGUGGUAUAAGAUGGACCCGCGUCUGAUUAGCUAGUUGGCAGGGUAACGGCCUACCAAGGCAACGAUCAGUAGCCGACUUGAGAGAGUGAUCGGCCACAUUGGGACUGAGACACGGCCCAAACUCC